GUUAGAUGAGAACUUUUCAGGUCACAGAUAAGCCAGUUUUUUAUGGUGGUGGUUAGUGUUUUGUUUUUCUUUUUGAGACGGAGUUUCGCUCUUUUCACCCAGGCUGGAGUGCAAUGGCACGAUCUCGGCUCACCGCAACCUCCGCCUCCUGGGUUCAGCCAAUUCUCCUGCCUCAGCCUCCUGAGUAGCUGGGAUUACAGGCAUGCGCCACCGUGCCCAGCGAUAAGGCCUUGCUACACUAUCUAGGCUGCCACAAACUCCUGGGCUCAAGUGAUCCUCUCACCUCAGCCACACAAGUAGCUGAGACUACAGAUAUUUUCUGGUAGACUGAUAUAUUUCUCCAUAAAAACUUGGAAAAAUUUAGUUAUGAAGCUACCUGCCCCUGAAGAUACCUUUUCUGAUAUGAUGGUGGGAGCUCUGAGUCCUAUUUUGGAGUAUGAGAAUGAGAGCUACGUCUUGGGGUUACAGAGAAGUAAACUGCAAGGAGACCAAGACUCUGAGUACUUAAUGCUGCAAGACUGCCAUAGAAGAGGUAAGACUGCUUAUAUCCUAACUGCUUAUAUCCUAACUGAUGUGUAAAACUAAUAACACUCGGGCUUUAUUCUCAGGUUUCUAUAAUGAGACUUGAUACUUGUGCAAAAUAAUAUUAUUAAUCUCCCUCUCCAUCUCUCACUCAUGCCUUCUACUUUUAAAAAACAGCACAUAAAAUUGAAAACCUUAGGAGAAGGAACCAAGCAUGUUUGGCUAUUUUCAUCAUAUUGAAUGUAAACUGUCUGUGAUAUUCUCUGCUUCUAUUUCCAUAUGUUAAAUAUUCUUGAGUCACAACUGUCUUUUUACAAAUUUAAAAUACUUGUUAUGAUUCAGCAUGUUUGGUGAUUCUAGCAAAAGCUGUAAUACAAUAAAUUAUAUCCAGAAAAUAUACAUCUCCAAAACUUAUCCAAGAACGAAGAAAAACACACUAAAAUAUACAAAUGAUUUUAGAAGAGGUUGGAAAGGUGAUCAAAAUGUGUGUGUUUGUGUGUGUGUGUGUGUGUGUGUGCACGCUUUUUAAGGCUCCAGGAAAAUAUAAUUUCAUAGAAGAGUUUUAUCUAAUCUCUAAAAAACCAAUUCUCAUGCAACCUAAGUAUUCCAGGUUAUCAGAAAACGUAAAAGUUGAUAGCCAGGCGCAGUGACUCACGCCUGUUAUCCCAGCAGUUCUAGAGGCAAAAACAGGUGGAUCACUUGACAUCAGGAAUACAAGACCACCAGCCUUGCCAACAUGGUGUAACCCCGUCUCUACUAAAACUGCAAAAAUUAGCUGGGUGUAGUGGUGCACGUGUGUAACCCCAGCUACUAAGGAGGCUGAGGCAUUAGAAUUGCUUAAACCCAGGAGGCAGAGGUUGCUGUGAGCUAAAAUCACACUACAACACUCACUCCAGCCUGGGCAACAAAGUGAGAGAGUGUCUCAAAAAGAAGAAAAAGAAUAAAAAAGUAAAAGGUAAAACUUUUUUAUUUUAGGCAGUUAGCAGAUUCUAAAUACUAAAACAUUAAUAAGAUGGAGAAAGUAAACAGAAAAAGAAUAUCCAUUGAAGAAAUAGAUGUGUAAUUUUUAAAUAAAACAUUAACAAAUAGUACCUAGCCAAGCAUCAAAAGAAAAGGAAUUAUUCCAGGAAUGUGUUAAUUUUUCCAAAUCAGAAAAUGUAUUGCCAGAAUAGAUUAUAUCAUUAAGAUAAUGUGCAGAAAAGCCGUAUACUUUCUCUCUGUGGGAGAGAUUUUUUGUUUGUCUUGAGAAUGCAACAAUUGUAUAGUCUUUUAAAAUAAGUCCUGUCU
ensembl:lncRNA